UCUCCGUGACGCAAGUCCAGUAGAUCCUUCUGACCCUCCACUGUGGACUCACUAGCUGGGGGAUGAAGAGAGCGUGACUGAGAGA
rnacentral:snoRNA from 1 species